AGCCCCGGUGGCCGAAUUACCCAUUCGGCCACCGGGUAGCACCUUGGCGUGGGGACCCAAGGCGCGUGGGUUCGAAACCCGCAGGGGACAAAAUUACAUCCAAAGCCAAUUGUCAAGUAGGUACCUUCGGGUGGACCUACUAUCUGAUUUAGCUUAUUGUUUCUGGGCUGGAAACCUGCUGUCUUUCAUUAAUUUUCCUAUGUUCUUGGUAUAUUCUUGGCGUCGUUCAACACUAAGCAUUCCUCCUGUAUAAGUUUAGAACCCGGUCUUUUUCUACCCUCUUUAGAACCUGGCAGUUCUCUAUGACAUUGUAAAUACAAUAUUUUCCAAGGAGGUGUUCAAGGAGCUGAUAUUCUCAUUGGC
rnacentral:sRNA from 1 species